GCAAGCGGACCUCACAAAGUGCGUCGUAGUCCGGAUCGGAGUCUGCAACUCGACUCCGUGAAGUCGGAAUCGCUAGUAAUCGUGGAUCAGAAUGCCACGGUGAAUACGUUCCCGGGCCUUGUACACACCGCCCGUCACACCAUGGGAGUGGGUUGCAAAAGAAGUAGGUAGCUUAACCUUCGGGAGGGCGCU
rnacentral:rRNA from 1 species